CCCUAACUACAUACAUAUACAUAUGUAUAUCUUCAGUAAACUCUAGAUGAACCAGCUAAUUUAUUUUCCGACCACAACGAACUGACCCGGAAGCAUGAAAACCAGACCCUUUUCCGUGAUCUCUACUCCAUAGCCAUCUCCCUAGCACCUUUCGACCACCAAACGGACGUUACAACUCAAUCGAUAUUAUCCGGCGAACCCAAAAAUAAACCAAACCAAAACACCAAAGAGAUAACCAUGUUACUUAACUUCACCCUGUGGCCUGUGAAAAAUCUCUGAUCGCGUAUUUACAUCGGAAACCUUCUUGUUUUCCGGCAAACCUUCGUUAUUCCGACCAUCUGUUCUUCUCAAAUUUCAGUUUAAGUCAACGUACAAUUGUUGACACUCAAACUUUUAUGUCAUAUGUAUAUGCAUCAUAUAGACGAAAUCCUUUAUCUCAGCACUUCACUUCUGAUCAUCACUUUGGAACCACUAAGGUGCGGAUUCCUUCCUUUACUAUCUAUAUAG
rnacentral:lncRNA from 1 species